rnacentral:misc_RNA from 1 species
AUUUAAUGUGGAGGGUCAACCUAAUAAGGUUAGCACUACACUGGCAUAUACAGCAAGAAUCAGCUGAUUCAUGGAGUACUAAAAGUCCCCUGGAUAGCCGCAAGUAAGUGGUCAUUCCGUUAAAAGGGUAAAAAUUAUCAGAAAGGAAUGUGAUGAAUAAAGGGAAAUUAUUUAAAGACCAAAUCCCAUAUAUACACCAGGAUCUGCAAAAGAUUGUUUAUAGGCAUGUUGAUUG